rnacentral:hammerhead_ribozyme from 1 species
AUCCAGUUGACCAGUCCUAAACAGGACGAAAUCCUCAUCUUGGAU